rnacentral:rRNA from 1 species
GACGAACGCUGGCGGCGUGCUUAACACAUGCAAGUCGAACGGAAAGGCCCUGCUUUUGUGGGGUGCUCGAGUGGCGAACGGGUGAGUAACACGUGAGUAACCUGCCCUUGACUUUGGGAUAAAUUCAGGAAACUGGGGCUAAUACCGGAUAGGAGCUCCUGCUGCAUGGGGGGGGUUGGAAAGAUUAGGCGGUUGGGGAUGGACUCGCGGCUUAUCGGAUUGGUGGUGGGGUAGUGGCUUACCAAGGCUUUGACGGGUAGCCGGCCUGAGAGGGUGACCGGCCACAUUGGGACUGAGAUACGGCCCAGACUCCUACGGGAGGCAGCAGUGGGGAAUAUUGCACAAUGGGCGGAAGCCUGAUGCAGCAACGCCGCGUGCGGGAUGACGGCCUUCGGGUUGUAAACCGCUUUCGCCUGUGACGAAGCGUGAGUGACGGUAAUGGGUAAAGAAGCACCGGCUAACUACGUGCCAGCCGCCGCGGUAACAC